GUCCAUUUUGCCCCAUUUUUGGCCGAGUGGUUAAGGUGUUGGACUUGAAAUCCAAUGGGGUCUCCCCACCCAGGUUCGAACCCUGCUCGCAGCGAUGGACU